rnacentral:sRNA from 1 species
GCACAUGGAACGGAUUGCAAGGGUGGUCGGCUACCUCUCGAGAAGAAGGGAGGGAUGCCCAUGGAGGUUAAGGAUGCUCUGAUGUUGAUGAUCGGUUUUGGCGCGCUGAUUGUAGCGCUGCUAACGCUGGUUGUUGCCAUCGUUGCAAUGAUUAACCAAAAAAAAUAGACCACCCUCCCGGCUAGGACUGUGGUCUACUUCUGAUCUUGUCUACUGAAGCCGACCGCCUUUGAAGCGGCCCAUUGUGCUGUUGGAGUCGUGUUGGCGCACGGCUC